rnacentral:rRNA from 1 species
AUGGUAGCAUGUCAUUUAUCCAAUAAAAGCGAGGAGAAGCCGCAUGGGUACAUAGACAAGAAUAAAAAGGUUGAGAUCAAGCAGGAAAUACCUCUCUUUGUGUGUUCUCUCCUACUGAUACUGAGACGGGCACUCGCAGUUUGUGGAGGGGAAGAGGAUCAGGGAGAAGAGCAGGAGCAUCAUCACCACAGGGACGAAGAGCAGGAAGGCCGGCGGCGGCGGCAGCGGGGGCAGCACCAGUGGGAGGCACAGGAGCAUCGCCGCCGCCGCCAGCAAGAUCAUCAGGAGGACGCCCCUGUCCAUCUGGGCCGGCUUCUCUAG